rnacentral:rRNA from 1 species
AUUGAACGCUGGCGGCAUGCUUUACACAUGCAAGUCGAACGGUAACAGGCCGCAAGGUGCUGACGAGUGGCGAACGGGUGAGUAAUGCAACGGAACGUGCCCAGUCCUGGGGGAUCACUACUCGAAAGAGUAGAUAAUACCGCAUACCAUCUAUUGUAGAAAGCGGGGGACCGUAAGGCCUCGCGCCGUUGGAGCGGCCGAUGUCAGAUUAGGUAGUUGGUGGGGUAAAGGCUCACCAAGGCAACGAUCUGUAGCUGGACUGAGAGGACGACCAGCCACACUGGGACUGAGACACGGCCCAGACUCCUACGGGAGGCAGCAGUGGGGAAUUUUGGGCAAUGGGCGCAAGCCUGAUCCAGCAAUGCCGCGUGCAGGAUGAAGGCCUUCGGGUUGUAAACUGCUUUUGUAAGGAACGAAAAGGCUCUGGUUAAACCCCGGGGCUAAUGACGGUACCGUAAGAAUAAGCACCGGCUAACUACGUG